UUGGGAAAGGACAUCUCAGGAACGCACUCCAGUGGUCUUACCUCUCAGAUAGGUUCUUCAAGGUAUCUUGGAGAGGGGUUUGGUUGAAGAAGAGGAGGA
ensembl:lncRNA